GACGAACGCUGGCGGCGUGCUUAACACAUGCAAGUCGAACGGGUCUGCCCUGUUUUUUGCGGGGUGGGUCAGUGGCGAACGGGUGAGUAACACGUGAGUAACCUGCCCCUCACUUCUGGAUAACCGCUUGAAAGGGUGGCUAAUACGGGGUGUUCUGGCUGUGCCGCAUGGUGUGGCUGGGAAAGAUUCACUUUUGUGGUGUUUUGGUGGGGGAUGGGCUCGCGGCCUAUCAGCUUGUUGGUGGGGUGAUGGCCUGCCAAGGCUUUGACGGGUAGCCGGCCUGGGAGGGUUGGCGGUCACACUGGGACUGAGAGGCGGCCCAGACUCCGGCGGGAGGCAGCAGGGGGGGGUAUUGCACAAUGGGCGGAAGCCUGAUGCAGCGACGUCGCGUGAGGGAUGGAGGCCUUCGGGUUGUGAACCUCUUUCGCCGGUGAAGAAGGUCCUGCUCUUUGUGGUGGGGUUGACGGUAGCCGGGUUAUGAAGCGCCGGCUAACUACGUG
rnacentral:rRNA from 1 species